rnacentral:rRNA from 1 species
GAUGAACGCUGGCGGCGUGCCUAACACAUGCAAGUCGAGCGGAGAAUUGUUGCUUGCAACAAUUCUUAGCGGCGGACGGGUGAGUAACACGUGGGUAACCUGCCCUAAACAAAGGGAUAACAAUGAGAAAUCAUUGCUAAUACCGUAUAAGCUUACACUAUCGCAUGAUAGAGUAAGAAAAGAUUUAUCGGUUUAGGAGGGGCCCGCGUCUGAUUAGCUAGUUGGAGAGGUAACGGCUCACCAAGGCGACGAUCAGUAGCCGACCUGAGAGGGUGAUCGGCCACAUUGGGACUGAGACACGGCACAAACUCCUACGGGAGGCAGCAGUGGGGAAUAUUGCACAAUGGAGGAAACUCUGAUGCAGCAACGCCGCGUGAAGGAAGAAGGUUUUCGGAUCGUAAACUUCUAUCUACAGGGAAGAAAAAAAUGACGGUACCUGAGGAAGAAGCCCCGGCUAACUACGUG